GAUGAAGAACGUAGCGAAAUGCGAUAAGUAAUGUGAAUUGCAGAAUUCAGUGAAUCAUCGAAUCUUUGAACGCACAUUGCGCCCGUCAGUAUUCUGGCGGGCAUGCCUGUUCGAGCGUCAUUACGCCCCUCAAGUCCCCUGUGGACUUGGUGUUGGGGAUCGGCGAGGCUGGUUUUCCAGCACAGCCGUCCCUUAAAUUAAUUGGCGGUCUCGCCGUGGCCCUCCUCUGCGCAGUAGUAAAACACUCGCAACAGGAGCCCGGCGCGGUCCACUGCCGUAAAACCCCCCAACUUUUUAUAGUUGACCUCGAAUCAGGUAGGACUACCCGGUGAACUUAAGCAUAUCAAUAAGCGGAGGA
rnacentral:misc_RNA from 1 species